rnacentral:rRNA from 1 species
GACGAACGCUGGCGGCGUGCCUAAUACAUGCAAGUAGGACGCAGUUGCGAACGGGUGAGUAACGCGUAGGUAACUACCUAUUAGAGGGGGAUAACUAUUGGAAACGAUAGCUAAUACCGCAUACUAGUAGAUGGACCUGCGUUGUAUUAGCUAGUAGGUCGGGUAAUGGCCUACCUAGGCAACGAUACAUAGGCGACCCGGAAGGGAGGUCGGGCACAAUUGGACUGAGGCAAGGGCCAGACUCCUACCGGGGGCAACAGUAGGGGAUCUUCGGCAAUGGGGGGAACCCUGACCGAGCAAAGCCGCGUGAGUGAAGAAGGGUUUCGGAGCGUAAAGCUCUGUUGUGAAGGAAGCGGUACUUAACCAGAAAGGGACGGCUAACUACGUGCCAGCAGCCGCGGUAAUUC